rnacentral:rRNA from 1 species
ACGAACGCCGGCGGCGUGCCUAAUACAUGCAAGUCGAACGAACUCUGGUAUUGAUUGGUGCUUGCAUCAUGAUUUACAUUUGAGUGAGUGGCGAACUGGUGAGUAACACGUGGGAAACCUGCCCAGAAGCGGGGGAUAACACCUGGAAACAGAUGCUAAUACCGCAUAACAACUUGGACCGCAUGGUCCGAGCUUGAAAGAUGGCUUCGGCUAUCACUUUUGGAUGGUCCCGCGGCGUAUUAGCUAGAUGGUGGGGUAACGGCUCACCAUGGCAAUGAUACGUAGCCGACCUGAGAGGGUAAUCGGCCACAUUGGGACUGAGACACGGCCCAAACUCCUACGGGAGGCAGCAGUAGGGAAUCUUCCACAAUGGACGAAAGUCUGAUGGAGCAACGCCGCGUGAGUGAAGAAGGGUUUCGGCUCGUAAAACUCUGUUGUUAAAGAAGAACAUAUCUGAGAGUAACUGUUCAGGUAUUGACGGUAUUUAACCAGAAAGCCACGGCUAACUACGUGCCAGCAGCCGCGGUAAUACGUAGGUGGCAAGCGUUGUCCGGAUUUAUUGGGCGUAAAGCGAGCGCAGGCGGUUUUUUAAGUCUGAUGUGAAAGCCUUCGGCUCAACCGAAGAAGUGCAUCGGAAACUGGGAAACUUGAGUGCAGAAGAGGACAGUGGAACUCCAUGUGUAGCGGUGAAAUGCGUAGAUAUAUGGAAGAACACCAGUGGCGAAGGCGGCUGUCUGGUCUGUAACUGACGCUGAGGCUCGAAAGUAUGGGUAGCAAACAGGAUUAGAUACCCUGGUAGUCCAUACCGUAAACGAUGAAUGCUAAGUGUUGGAGGGUUUCCGCCCUUCAGUGCUGCAGCUAACGCAUUAAGCAUUCCGCCUGGGGAGUACGGCCGCAAGGCUGAAACUCAAAGGAAUUGACGGGGGCCCGCACAAGCGGUGGAGCAUGUGGUUUAAUUCGAAGCUACGCGAAGAACCUUACCAGGUCUUGACAUACUAUGCAAAUCUAAGAGAUUAGACGUUCCCUUCGGGGACAUGGAUACAGGUGGUGCAUGGUUGUCGUCAGCUCGUGUCGUGAGAUGUUGGGUUAAGUCCCGCAACGAGCGCAACCCUUAUUAUCAGUUGCCAGCAUUAAGUUGGGCACUCUGGUGAGACUGCCGGUGACAAACCGGAGGAAGGUGGGGAUGACGUCAAAUCAUCAUGCCCCUUAUGACCUGGGCUACACACGUGCUACAAUGGAUGGUACAACGAGUUGCGAACUCGCGAGAGUAAGCUAAUCUCUUAAAGCCAUUCUCAGUUCGGAUUGUAGGCUGCAACUCGCCUACAUGAAGUCGGAAUCGCUAGUAAUCGCGGAUCAGCAUGCCGCGGUGAAUACGUUCCCGGGCCUUGUACACAC